rnacentral:rRNA from 1 species
CAGUCGCCACGGUAAUACAGAGGGUGCAAGCGUUAAUCGGAUUUACUGGGCGUAAAGGGCGCGUAGACGGAUUGCGCAGUCAGAUGUGAAAUUCCUGGGCUUAACCUGGGGGCUGCAUUUGAGACGCGUAGUCUAGAGUGUGAAAGAGGGUCGUGGAAUUCCCAGUGUAGAGGUGAAAUUCGUAGAUAUUGGGAAGAACACCGGUGGCGAAGGCGGCGACCUGGUUCAUAACUGACGCUGAGGCGCGAAAGCGUGGGGAGCAAACAGGAUUAGAGACCCCAGUAGUCCCUGUCUCUUAUAC